rnacentral:rRNA from 1 species
UGGGGAAUCUUGGACAAUGGGCGCAAGCCUGAUCCAGCAAUGCCGCGUGGGUGAAGAAGGCCUUCGGGUUGUAAAGCCCUUUUGUUUGGGAGCAAAUCCUUGUGGUUAAUACCCGCUGGGGAUGAGAGUACCAAAAGAAUAAGCACCGGCUAACUACGUGCCAGCAGCCGCGGUAAUACGUAGGGUGCGAGCGUUAAUCGGAAUUACUGGGCGUAAAGCGUGCGCAGGUGGCUAUGUAAGAUCGACGUGAAAUCCCCGGGCUCAACCUGGGAAUGGCGUUGAUGACUGCAUGGCUAGAGUAUGGCAGAGGGGGGUGGAAUUCCACGUGUAGCAGUGAAAUGCGUAGAGAUGUGGAGGAACACCGAUGGCGAAGGCAGCCCCCUGGGCCAAUACUGACACU